rnacentral:rRNA from 1 species
GAUGAACGCUGGCGGCGUGCCUAAUACAUGCAAGUCGAGCGAACAGACGAGGAGCUUGCUCCUCUGACGUUAGCGGCGGACGGGUGAGUAACACGUGGAUAACCUACCUAUAAGACUGGGAUAACUUCGGGAAACCGGAGCUAAUACCGGAUAAUAUAUUGAACCGCAUGGUUCAAUAGUGAAAGACGGUUUUGCUGUCACUUAUAGAUGGAUCCGCGCCGCAUUAGCUAGUUGGUAAGGUAACGGCUUACCAAGGCAACGAUGCGUAGCCGACCUGAGAGGGUGAUCGGCCACACUGGAACUGAGCCACGGUCCAGACUCCUACGGGAGGCAGCAGUAGGGAAUCUUCCGCAAUUGGCGAAAGCCUGACGGAGCAACGCCGCGUGAGUGAUGAAGGUCUUCGGAUCGUAAAACUCUGUUAUUAGGGAAGAACAAAUGUGUAAGUAACUAUGCACGUCUUGACGGUACCUAAUCAGAAAGCCACGGCUAACUACGUG